rnacentral:lncRNA from 1 species
AGGCUUUGUCGUGUGCAUUUGGUUCAGAUAUCUGACGAAAUCAGCGCAUUUAAUCCAUAAUUUAGUAAGAAAAGCUUGUAAAUCUCUCUUGCACAACUUUUACAGGCUGUUGUUUUUCUUUUGCAGUUAGGGUGCGAAAAGGCAACUAAUUCUUCAAUUUGGACCUUACCUACUAGGAAGAAACUUUAUCACGUGAGAGUUGCACAAAAAGGAGAAGAAAAAGCAAGUUAAGGGAUCAAAGUGCAGAGAGAAAGUGACAGUUUCAGGAUCUUCUUGGAGAGAAAGGAGAAAAGCCGCAGGGGGAAAAUGAAAAAAAUGGCAAUGCCAUGCUGCAGCCAGGCCACCAUCUCAGGACUUAGGGGGCACUUCUGUACAGAGGGAGGUUAUCUUCUCUAUCGAGAGGGGCUGGAAAAGAAAAAAAGAGAGGAAAGAAAAGAAGAGAAGGGAGGAAAGGAAAACGAUGGAGAUGGAGAUGGAUUUGCACCCUCGCUUAACCUAGCUGAGACACCGUCACCA